rnacentral:rRNA from 1 species
UACGUAGGCAGCAAGCGUUGUUCGGAGUUACUGGGCGUAAAGCGUAUGUAGGCGGUGUCCUAAGUUCGGUGUGAAAUCUCCCGGCUCAACUGGGAGGGUGCGCCGAAGACUGGGAUGCUGGAGUCUCGGAGAGGAACGCGGAAUUCCUGGUGUAGCGGUGAAAUGCGUAGAUAUCAGGAGGAACACCGGUGGCGAAGGCGGUUCUCUGGGCAUUACCUGACGCUGAGGAGCGAAAGCGUGGGGAGCAAACAGG